ensembl:lncRNA
GUCUGGAGUCCAGUCUAUGGUCUGAAAUUAUUUUGGUUGAAAAUAGCGGAAACACCGCGUCACGGACACGGCGCAUGCGCACUGCGCGCUUGUAAACCACGCAUGCGCACUGCGCGCUUUAAAUGCGGUCUGCGAGCGCGUAACCGUCCCAGUCCGUUUGCAGCAUUGAGGCACCAAUGUGUCUUGCUGGCUUCACGUGAAGGAUAAUGCAGGCCAAGAGCCUCACUUCCGGCUCUUGGUCACGUGGUUAUUACCAGCGUAGGAGGUGGGACUCGCGCCCUUUUUCUGCAGAAGACCUGAGCCCCAUUCACUCCAAUGGAAAAUUGUAUGAUCAGCCAACAGCAGAAAGGUGAAUUAGAUGACAUGAAGAUGCACAUCCACUUGUGUACAUGAAGUGUAAUCCUUUCUUACAUUAAGUGAGUGAGGCCUGCACCAUCAUGGUAUUUGGGAACAUCAUGAACCUGCAGCUCCGCUGACAUCCAGAUGGUUCCAGGACUUGGUUUUCUUUCUAAGGAUGCAAAACUGAUCCUGAGGCCCAGUGGGUGGGUGUUCCAACACUUUUUUGGGUGUGUCCCCCCGUCCCCCCUAAGGUUGUAAAACUGCUGCAUAUAUCUUAUGGAGUUUAGCUGUGCCCGGAUGAAGAUCUAGUCUGGGGAAGGAUGGAACAUCAUUCAAAAAUGCAAACACCUGUGGAAGUGAUGCAGUUGUUUCAACUGUGGCUACUGUAGCUGUAGCCGCAGUUGUUUCAACUGUGGCUACUGUAGCUGUAGCCGCAGUUGUUUCAACUGUGGCUACUGUAGCUGUAGCCGCAGUUGUUUCAACUGUGGCUACUGUAGCUGUAGCCGAUGCAGUUGUUUCAACUGUGGCUACUGUAGCUGUAGGCAUGAUUGAUUAGAUCAGGGGUUCCCAAAUUUUUCCAGUGCAAGGCCCCCUUCAGUCAAAUGUUAAUGGCAUUAACAUUUGACUGAGGCCCUCCUUUUGCAAGAUGUCUUUAAAACACAUUAAAAAUACAGAUUUUUGGAAUAUUAAUUUAAAAAAGGGGAUAUAAUCAUCUCACAUCAUUUACAUUAGGGGUGGGUGGUUGUCUUGAGUGAGAAUUUAUCUUUCACACCAAAUUGGUGAGGACCCCUGGUUUGAAAACCACUGGAUUAGAUUCAGUAGCCUGGUGAUAUCCAGUCAAGUUAGGGGUUUUCAUUUUUGUACAUAUCCAUGCCCAUAUAUUGACUUUAUAUGAUGAGUACAUUUAUGAUGGGUGUAUAUCUUAAAUUGCUGGAUGUAGACUGUAAUAGAGCCUUUUGAAUUCUCUUGUGUUGAAACUGUGAAAUAAGCUGAUAUUCAGGUUGGUAUAUGACUCAAAGGAUCUAUGUAAUGAACCAUUUAGACUCAAGGUACUUGUAAAAAGUCAACUUUUUAAAAAAUAUAUAUUUAUCAAAAAAUAUAACAACCUUAUCCUACUGCAUUUAAGAGCAAUUCAAAUGCUAUUGCACCAUGCUGAUGUACUAUAGAUUUGCACAGAAUAAAG